rnacentral:sRNA from 1 species
UCCCGAAGCAUCCAUGCCCCGAAAGGAC